GAUGAAUGUACCAGUUUGCAACAUAAGUGUCAUGACAAUGCUACAUGUACAAACUCAAUGGGGUCAUACACAUGUAAAUGUAACAUUGGUUUUGAGGGAAAUGGUACAAUUUGCACCGAUGUUAAUGAAUGUACCAGUUUGAACUAUGACUGCCAUCACAAUGCUACAUGCACAAACUCAAUGGGUUCAUACACAUGUGAAUGUAACACUGGUUUUGAGGGAACUGGUACCAGCUGCAACGAUAUUGAUGAAUGUACCAGUUUGCAGCAUGUGUGUCAUGACAAUGCUACAUGCACAAACUCAAUGGGUUCAUACACGUGUAAAUGUAACACUGGUUUUGAGGGAACUGGUACAAACUGCACCGGU